rnacentral:ncRNA from 1 species
AGAUGGAAGAAUCAAAGCUAUUGGCGAAUGCCUUGGUAGUUUAAGCCUAUGAAGGGCGCGUGGUAAAGCGCGAAAACGACGAUAAGCUCUUAUCCAAGCGCUAUCAAUCGUUGGUUUCCGAAUGGAGUAAUCCUGCCUUGCGCAAGCAAGGUGAACCUGCGUUACGCAAGGAAAUUCGAAACUCGAAUCUCGAAACUCUAAACAAAUUCAAAUUUACUAAAUUCAAAUUUCUAAAAAAUACGAUUUUGAAUUUUUAAUUUUAAUUUUUUGAUAUUGUUUCGGAUUUCGGAUUUAGUAUUUCGGAUUUCCGCGCGUAGCGCGGGUAGGGAACCUGGAGAACUGAAACAUCUAAGUACCCAGAGGAAAAUAAAUCAAAGAGAUUCCGUAAGUAGCGGCGAGCGAAAGCGGAAAAGUCUAAACCCCGAUUUAAUCGGGGUGUUGCGGGUCUGCCAUAGGGAGUGUUUUUGAUAAAAAAAUGAUUUGGAAAAAUCAGUCAUAGAGAGUGAUAACCUCGUAUUUAAAAUUAAAAACACCUCUGGCAGUUUCCCAAGUACCACGAGACACGGAAAACCUUGUGGGAAUCCGGGUCGGUCACGAUCCAAGACUAAAUACUUAAACUAACCGAUAGUGAACUAGUACCGAGAGGGAAAGGUUAAAAGGACCCCGGAAGGGGAGUGAAAUAGAACCUGAAACCAAUAGCUAACAAGCAGACAGAGCUUGUGCUUCGCACAAGAAAUUCGAAGCUCGAAACCCGAAGCACGAAGCAAAUUCUAAAUAUAAAAUCUCAAAAUACAAAUAAAUUUUAAGCAUAAAAUCCUAAAUUUAAAAUUUGGAAUUUAUAAUUUAUUUGUUAUUUGUAAUUUAUAAUUUGUGACUUGUUUCGUAUUUCGGAAUUAGAAAUUCGAGUUUCUCGCGCGGAGCGCGAGUAAUGUCGUGCCUAUUGAAGAAUGAGUCAGUGAGUGAUCCGAUGUUGCAAGUCUAAGCAUUAAAUUGCGAAGGCGAAGGGAAACCGAGUCUUAAUAAGGCGACCAAAGCAUCUUCGGAUCGACCCGAAACCAGGUGAUCUAACCAUGAACAGGAUGAACUCCGUCGAAAGACGUGAGGGAGGUCCGUACCCGUUGCCGGUGUAACGGCUUGGGAUGAUUUGUGGUUAGUGGUUAUAUGCCAAACGAACCUGGAGAUAGCUGGUUCUCCCCGAAAUAUAUUUAGGUAUAGCCUUCUGUUUUAAGCUGUGGGGUAGAGCGACUAGAUGGUUUUGGGAGCUUUUAGCGACCGAAAUCAACUAAACUCCGAAUACGCAGUGUUUAUCAGAGGAGUCAGUCCUGCCGGGAUAAGCUGGUGUGGACUAAAGGGAAACAGCCCAGAUUCUCAUCUAAGGUUCAUAAAUGAUUAUUAAGUGGAAAAGGCCGUUUGUUUUCUAAUACAGCAGGGAGGUUGGCUUAGAAGCAGCUAUCCUUCAAAGAGUGCGUAACAGCUCACCUGAAUAUCCAGAGCUUGCUCUGGAGGAAAACAGGCGCCUAAAAUGAACUGAGCUAAAUAAUCUACCGAAGAUUGAACGUCGCGUCUAACGCGAUGGGUAGGGGAGCGUCCUGAAGACAAUGAAGCAGAAGUGUAAACAACUGUCGAGACUUCAGGAGUGAGAAUGCUGACAUGAGUAGUGAUUCUCCCGAUGAAAAUUCGGGAUGCCGAAAACCCAAGGUUUCCGAAGCAAUGUUAAUCAACUUCGGGUAAGUCGGAUCUAACCGCAUUCAGUUUUUAUGAAUGAGGGAUGUACAAACCGUUAAUAUUCGGUUACCUUUUCGUAAACGUUUUACUUAAAUGUUUGACAAAAUUUGAUAAGCAGAGCUGUCUAUAUGACAGUUUAAGUAGUUAGUCUUCGGGCAAGCUACCAAUACAAGUCUGGCGCAAGCUGGGCGAGUCUGCCGACUUAAGUUUUCAAGAAAAGAGCGAUUAAGGAGUUUAUAAAAAGUCCGUACUGCAAACCAACACAGGUGGGUUGGUCGAGUAGACUAAGGCAUACGAGUAAUGAUAGUUCAAGGAACUCGGCAAAAAAGCUGAGCGUAAGUUUUCGAUGUGCUCCUCCCGACGUUAAGUCGGGACACAGCAAAAG